rnacentral:rRNA from 1 species
CAGUAGCCACGGUAAUACGUAGGUGGCAAGCGUUGUCCGGAAUUAUUGGGCGUAAAGAGCUCGCAGGCGGUUUCUUAAGUCUGAUGUGAAGGCCCCCGGCUCAACCGGGGAGGGUCAUUGGAAACUGGGAAACUUGAGUGCAGAAGAGGAGAGUGGAAUUCCACGUGUAGCGGUGAAAUGCGUAGAGAUGUGGAGGAACACCAGUGGCGAAGGCGACUCUCUGGUCUGUAACUGACGCUGAGGAGCGAAAGCGUGGGGAGCGAACAGGAUUAGAUACCCCAGUAGUCCCUGUCUCUUAUAC